UGUGUAGUGGAUAUGCUUGCAAGGGCUGGUUUGGUGGAGCGUGCAUACGAGUUUAUCAAGAAAAUGCCUGUUCCACCAACAGUUUCAGUCUGGGGGGCUCUUUUAGGGGCUUGUAGAGUUUAUGGAAAACCUGAACUAGGGAAGGUUGCAGCUGACAAUUUGUUUCAACUUGAUCCAAAGGACUCUGGAAACCAUGUUAUUCUUUCAAAUAUGUUUGCAGCUGCUGGAAGGUGGGAGGAGGCUAAUCUCGUCAGGAAGGAGAUGAAGGAUGUGGGCAUCAACAAAGGGGCCGGAUUCAGUUGGAUAUCUGUAAGGAAUUCUGUCCAUAUUUUCCAAGCAAAGGAUACAAUUCAUGAGAGAUACCCAGAGAUUCAAGCAAUGCUGGCCAAGUUAAAGAGAGAUAUGAAAGCAGCAGGUUAUACUGCUGACACGAAUUUUGCUCUGUAUGACUUAGAGGAAGAAGAAAAGGAAUCAGAAGUUUGGUACCAUAGUGAGAAGAUUGCACUUGCAUUUGGUCUCAUUGCUAUCCCUCCUGGAGUCCCUAUAAGGAUAACAAAAAAUCUGAGGGUUUGUGUGGAUUGCCAUAGUGCAAUAAAGUUCAUAUCGGGCAUUACUGGUAGAGAAAUUAUAGUAAGAGAUAACAACCGCUUUCAUUGUUUCAAGGACUACCAGUGCUCGUGCAGAGAUUAUUGGUGAAUCUAGUUUAGGUAUACCAGAGAAUUCUGGUGGCUUCCUUGCCAUUCUGCCACUGAUCCAGGCACUAAUUUACACUCAUGAUGUUGAAGUUGAGGGUCUGAACUGGAAGAUAUCACCUCCAUAAGUUUUCUUCACUUCCAAGGCGAAGCUGGAAUUGCAUACAAGGUCCACCAUCCCCUGCUAGAGGCACGUUAAGGGCUUCACAAAUCUGAAACUCAAAACUACGUGUAAACUGGCAUUGCAGAAAAAAGCAGCUAUGCUAACAGGUUUUUUAGCGCCUCAAGCAUGAACAAUAUGAAUUCUUCCAGUUCUAUGGCAUGUCAUGUUAUUAUAUCUUCACGCCGAUGACAAAAUAAUUGAAUGCAGGAAGAAGCUCCUGGUGCUGCCAGAGUACAAGUUUACGACUAUUUCAACAUGAAAACUUGUGAUGAUUUGUUCUAUUUUUUAGCUGAGUUCAAGAAACAUUUCUCAGAAAAACACACUGGAUGGCAGAGUUCAGUGAGUGGACAUGCUAAGCUCAAUUUGCUAGUUUGGAGGGUACACGGAUUUCCUUGUUUGUUCUUGAUUCGUGAUGAAAGUUUAAACCAUUUUGCAUCAACACUUGUAGCUGCAAGAGAUCAAGAAAUGAGUUGAGUGAUAAUCAAAAUGCUGUUACAUUUGGCAUAUAUAGGGAGAGAAUAACACCUUUGCCCUACCUCUUGUGCUAGAUUUAUGCAAUCCAUUAGAGAUAAACAAAGCAUGCCCUCCUGUUUCAAUUAAAUCUGCAAAAUUUCCAAUUAUCUCUUGCAACUCUCUUGCAAACUUUUUGCAAGAUGAAUAUAGAUGCCAGGUACUCAGAGUUCCAUUGUGAUUGAGGGUCAUAUCAGAAGCGAAGAUGGUCCUAAGUGAAGAUGUAAGAGACAAGCUAGGGCAAUGCUCAAUUUUGUGGGCAUAACAGCCGUCUUCAUAGGAGUUAGAUUGUUGUAUAACGAACUCUAGCAGGGGCAUUGUUAUGAGAUUGCCGUGCACUAAUCGAUGGAGAAUUGCAAUGUGAUAUAAAACAUGGAGGCAAAGAAAAGGCAGCAGACUAUCUAGCAAAGGAGGGACAAGAUGCAAAUGGGGAUGAUGAGCUGAUGGUUAUCAACGAUCCACCACAGUGCAUGAUGCAGUUACUUAGGGAAGAUGCUAUGGGAGGAACUACCACUAGGUAGUUGGCAUUUUGGCGUGCAAUGUAAUUAAAAAGGGAUGAUUUUUUGUGGCAUAACUUAACGAAUUAUUCCGUGCCACUUUUGAAUGAGUUUAGUGAAGGUACUUAGAAGUUAGCGGUAUCUUGGUAGCGUACACUAGGAUGAUUAAGGAUAUGUACGAUGGUGCUAAUACUCAGGUGAGGACUGUGGGAGGAAACUCGAAACAUUUUUCAGUUAUGAUGGGGUGCACCAGGGAUCAACUCUUAGCCCGUUCUUAUUUGCCAUGGCAAUGGACGGGCUGACGCGGCACGUCCAAGGGAGGUGCCAUGAUGCAUGUUAUUUGCAGAUGAUAUUGUGUUGAUAGACGAGACACGAAGCGGGGUUAACGCGAGGUUAGAGGUUUAGAGACAGACUUUGGAGUCUAAAUUUUUCAAGUUGAGCAGGACCAAAACAGAGUACUUGGCGUGCAAAUUUAGUGACGAGACCUUGAAGCAGACGUGGAUGUGAAGCUCUAUACUCAAGUCAUUCCCAAGAGAAUUAGUUUCAAGUAUCUCAGAUCGAUUAUACAUGGUAACGGGGAGAUCAACGAGGAUGUCACACAUCGUAUUGGAGCGGGAUGGAUGAAGUGGAGGCUUGCAUCCGGUGUUCUAUGUGAUAAGAAUGUGCAGCCAAAACUUAAGGUAAAUUUUACAGAGUGGUGGUUCGACCAAUCAUGCUGUAUCGGGCGGAGUGUUGGCCAGUCAAGGGCUCCUAUGUGCAGAAGAUGAAAGUAGCAGAAAUGGGGAUGUUAUGAUAGAUGUGUGAGUGUACUAGGAGGGAUACGAUUAGGAAUGAAGCUAUUCGGAACAUAGUGGGAGUGGCAUCUGUGGAGGACAAGAUGCGGGAGUCGAGGUUGAGAUGGUUCGGGCAUGUUAACAGGAGAAGUAUUGAUGCUCCUGUUAGGAGGUGUGAGAGGUUGACCAUGACGGGUUUGAGAAGGGGUCGAGGAAGACCUAAGAAGUACCGGGGAGAGGUGAAUAAGUAGGACAUGACGUGGCUUCAGCUCAUUGAGGACAUAACCCUUGAUAGGAGGGUGUGGAGGUCGAGGAUUAUGGUAGAAGGCUAGGAGGUAGUUUGAGAGUUUCCCCCCUUUCUUACCGGUAGUAUUAGUAGCACGCAUGUACUUUCUUAUUUCUCGG